GACGAACGCUGGCGGCGUGCUUAACACAUGCAAGUCGAACGGUGAAAGCGGAGCUUGCUCCGCUGGAUCAGUGGCGAACGGGUGAGUAACACGUGGGCAACCUGCCCCUCACUUCGGGAUAACUCCGGGAAACCGGGGCUAAUACCGGAUAUGACCUCCUUGGGCAUCCUUGGAGGUGGAAAGUUUUUCGGUGAGGGAUGGGCCCGCGGCCUAUCAGCUUGUUGGUGAGGUAGUGGCUCACCAAGGCGACGACGGGUAGCCGGCCUGAGAGGGCGGCCGGCCGCACUGGGACUGAGACACGGCCCAGACUCCUACGGGAGGCAGCAGUGGGGAAUAUUGCGCAAUGGGCGAAAGCCUGACGCAGCAACGCCGCGUGCGGGAUGACGGCCUUCGGGUUGUAAACCGCUUUCAGCAGGGAAGAAGCGAAAGUGACGGUACCUGCAGAAAAAGCACCGGCUAACUACGUGCCAGCCGCCGCGGUAA
rnacentral:rRNA from 1 species